rnacentral:rRNA from 1 species
UGGGGAAUAUUGGACAAUGGGGGCAACCCUGAUCCAGCGAUGCCGCGUGGGUGAAGAAGGCCUUCGGGUUGUAAAGCCCUUUAGGUUGGGAAGAAGGUUGGUGGAGGAAAUGCCAUUAACUUGACGGUACCGACAGAAUAAGCACCGGCAAACUCUGUGCCAGCAGCCGCGGUAAUACAGAGGGUGCGAGCGUUAAUCGGAUUAACUGGGCGUAAAGGGCGCGUAGGCGGUUAAAUGAGUGUGAUGUGAAAGCCCCGGGCUUAACCUGGGAAGAGCAUUGCAAACGAUAAAACUGGAGUUGAGGAGAGGGUGGCGGAAUUUCCGGUGUAGCGGUGAAAUGCGUAGAGAUCGGAAGGAACGUCAAUGGCGAAGGCAGCCACCUGGCCAAAAACUGACGCUGAGGCGCGAAAGCGUGGGUAGCGAACAGGAUUAGAUACCCGGGUAGUCC